rnacentral:lncRNA from 1 species
AUAUUUUAACCCCAAAAUGAGGGAAAGAGUAGAGACUUCUAGAUCUUAAAGCAAAGGAAAACUAGUAGGAAAAUAAACAGAUAAAUCUUUGCCAGGUAUAAUUUUGAGAAGGUAUUAAUGUGUAGAAUAUAUAAAGAACUACACAAAUUAAACACACACACAAUAAAUGUGCUAAUGAAUUUAACAGAUUGUUCUCAAAAGAAGAGAUAUAAAUCCUUAGUCAUCAGAAAAAUACAAAUUCACGUGACUUUGGGAUUCUAAGUCCCUGAAGUCAGAAUAGCUAUCAUCAUGAAAAAAAAAAAUAACAAAUGUUGGCAAGAAUAUGGAUAAAGAGGAGGACCCAUGUACUGUCAGUGGGAGUGCAAAUUGGUGCAGCUACUAUCGAAAUCUCUGGAGGCUUUUUUUGGAGACCAAAGAUAGAGCUAACAUAUGUCUCAACUAUACCAGUCCUGAAUCCAUGGCCAAAGGACUCAUCUGUAUCCUACCUACUACAGAGAUCCUGCACAUCCAUGUUCAUUGCAUCUAUAGUCAUGAUAAGCAAAGAAAUGGAGUCAGGCUUAGAUGUCCUCCAACAGAUUAAAUGGAAAUGAAAAUAUGGUAUAUAUACCAUUCAUCAAUAAAGAAAAUGGAGGUUGAUCAUCAAAAGAGCCUAGGCUCUCACACCAAGAAGCGAUGAAGGAGAGUAAAUGAAGAGCUUACUUAAUUGAAUUGCAAAUGGACUUUUCAUUAGAUGUAAUAACUAAAAAUAGAAAAAUCAGUAAUAUCAAACGCUAAUGUUACCGGUAGCAUCAGUGUUCAUAUUAUGUUACCAAGUGGUAACUGUUUUACUUGUCAGUUAAAGGAAAACGAAGGACAUAUGCACAAUAAGGAGCUAUAACCAUUUUUAAAUUACAGAGUUGGCAUAUUAUUAUGUUUGAAGUAGAUGC